rnacentral:lncRNA from 1 species
CAGAGGCCUGACAUUCCUGUCUUCUUAUAUUAAUAAGAAAAACAAAAUAGUGGUGAAGUGUUGGAGUGGUGAAAAAUUUGGGGGAGUUAUGGGGAGAUAAUGGGCGAUGUCUCUCAGGGCAGCUUUGAACGGGAUUGGCGUGGCGUCAGAACCUACAGUGGGAAAGAUUCAACUGAAGAAAGAUUUUUGGGGUAAGGGGUGAUAUUGUAGGGUUAGAAGGAGCAUUUGUCGUAUAGAAUUAUUGGUGAUGGCCUGGAUGUGGUUUUAUAUGAAUUGAGAAACUAAACAAAAGACACAAGGUCCGAAUAAAAGAAGAAAAAUAGGUAUUAAAGGACUAAGAAUUGGGAGUACCCAGGACGUCCAAUUAGAGCGUGUCCAAGGGGGUUCAACAUUAUUGUUUGCUUGGUUGGUGAGUUUUUGGGCUCUAUCCUUGAGUUUUUUUAUGUUGUCAUAUACCAGGCCAGAUUGAUUUAGGUAAAAACAACACUCUUCAUUUAAAAAUAUACAGAGUUCUCCUUUUUCAGUAGUGAGUAAAUUGAGGUCUCAGCGGUUGGAGGACAACUGCAGCUAAAGAGUCAACCUGGGCUUGGAGAACAGAUAGUUUGUGACAUGUCUGUAAUGCUAGCAGAGAAGUCAUUAGAGAGGCUGUGGAAUGUUGACAGAGGUUGAGAUGCCUGCUAUUCCAGUUCCGAGUGCAGUAGUGGAGGCAGAAAGUCCUAGACCCACAAGUAAAGGGAUUAGUGGGAUGACUCUUUUUCUGUCAUGUUGGUGUCAUGAGGGGGACAGGUCAUUGUCCGUUCCCAUCUACAAACUGGAUUUUGGGGGUAAGGAAGACUAGAGUACAUGUGCCUGUCCAGUUGGCAGGUAGGCACAUGUAGGUGGAAGAGCCACAUAAAAAGAAGAGACCUUGUGUACAUUUACUGGAAAUGUAAAGUGAAAAGGUGAGAGGGUGUACUGAAAGAGGAAUCCAGCACCCAAAAUCCUAGAGAUCCAGCAAGGGCAGCAGCCAUUAGAGGUUGUAAUGGGAAUUGAUGGUGCAACUCAUAAAGGGAGAGGUUUGGUUUUCAUGGUGUAUGAGAAACCACAUAGUGUCUACAAGUAACCUUUCACUGCUAUUCAUGGGGCUGGGUAUAAGAAAGCAAGAGGAGGAGCUAGGAGGAGAUUCAGACGAGCAGGGGGAGGGUAGCCAAGGAUGGAGUGAGAUGCAGGGUAGGUGUCUUCCUAAACAAUAGUGACUGCCAAUGUUUUUUAGUUUGUCAGUAAUGAUAGAGGGCUUAUCAGUAAUGCAAAGUUGGAAUGCUCCCACCUGUUUGGUAAUGUGUGUGGCUGGGUUCUGGAGAUAGUAAAGGAACAUUUGGACAGUGGGAGGUUGCCUAAAGGGAUUCCAGUAGGCUGUUGUCGGGAGAUGCAUAAAGGAGUGGCAACAGGGAUAGUUGUUUGUGUGGUUAGGGGUCCAAAUAUGGGGAGCGUGGAAUUAACAUAAGGAGAAAGGUGCUAUAAGUAGAUGUGGAGAAGUGUGGUAGCUUGUUGGUGUGAAACAUCUGGGGAGUUCUCACCAAAUCUGUCUAGAAAGUACAGGGACUGUACCCUGUAGCAUCUUGAGGACAGGCUCUAAUUUUGAGACGGGCAAGAAGUAAAAGUACUGUCCAGUCCUUUUUAAGUUGGAGGCUGAGCUUGGUGAGAUGUGUCUUUAAAAGACCAUUAGUCCGUUCUACCUUUCCUGAAGAUGAGGACAGUAAGGGGUAUGAAGGUUCCACUGAAUACCAAGAGCCUGAGAAACUGCUUGGGUGAUUUGACUAAAGGCUGGUCCAUUAUAGGAUUGUAUAGAGGUGGGAAGGCCAAACUGAGGAAUUAUGUCUGACAGAGGGGAAUAAAUGACCACGAUGGCCUUCUCAGACCCUGUGGGAAAGGCCUCUACCCAUCCAGUCUACCCAGACCAAGAGGUAUUUUAGUUUCCUGACUCGAGGCAUGUGAGUGAAGUCAAUUUGCCAGUCCUAGGUGGGGGCAAAUCCCCAAGUUUGAUGUGUAGGGAAGGGGAGGGGGCCUGAACAAUCCCUGAGGAGUAGUAGAAUAGCAGAUGGAACACUGAGAAGUGAUUUCCUUAAGGAUAUAUUUCCACGAUGGAAAGGAAAUGAGAGCCUCUAAGAGGUGGGCUAGCAGCUUGUAACCUACAUGGAAGAGGUUAUAAAAUGACGAUAGAAUAGAAUGGGCCCAUGAGGCUGGAAGCAGAUAUUUUCCUUGGUCCAAGAACCAUUUGCCUUGUGUGGGAAGAGAUUGAUAGGUGGAAGUUUCAGUGGGAGAGUAGGUGGGAGUGACAAGAUGAGGAGAAAAACUGGCCAUGAGGGACAGAAGUUGGACCGCUAGCUGCUUCUUUAGCUAUCUUAUCAGCAUAAGUGUUGCCCUGAGCGAUGGGAUCUGAUGCCUUUUGGUGGCCCUUGCAGUGUAUGACUCCAGCUUCCUUUGGAAGUAAAGUGGCCUUGAGAAGAGUUUUUAUUAAAGAGGCAUUAAUGUUGGACCACCCUUGCUUAGUGAGGAAACCUCUUUCAGCCCAUAUAACAGCAUGGUGGUGCAGGAUAUGGAAGGCAUAUUUAGAGUCAGUAUAAAUAUUGACACAUAAUUCCUUUGCAAGAGUGAGGGUUCGAGUUAAGGCAAUGAGUUUGGCUUGCCGAGAGGUAGCGGAGGGCGGCAGAGCAGCAGCCUCAAUGAUAGAUGUGGAAGGUACUAUAGCAUAGCCUGCCUUUGCUGGUGUGUGGCGAUUAGGCGUGGUGGAACUGCCAUCAAUAAACCAGGUGUGAUCAGGGUGAGGAAUAGCAAAGAAGGAAAUAUGGGAAAUGGAGUGAAUGCCAGGUGUAUCAGAGAGAUAACAGUCAUGGGGGUCAGGUGUGGUAUCAGGAAUAAUGUGGGAGGCCAGAUUGAAGUCCGGGCCAGGAACAAUGGUAACUGGGAAAUUCAACAAAGAGUGAGUACAGCUUAAGGAGCUGGGGAGCAGAAAGUAUGUGUGUCAGGUGUGGGGAAGAAAAUAGAUUUUGGAAGUUACGAGAACUGUAGAGAGUGAGUUGAGCAUAGUUUGUGAUUUUGAGGGCCUCUAAAAGUAUUAGGGCAGUGGCGGCCACCACAUGGAGACAUGAUGGAGAGCCUAAAACGUAAGGUCAAGUUGUUUGGACAAAAAGGCUACAGGGCGCGGUCCCAGUCCUUGUGUAGGAAUUCCGACUGCACAGCCCUGCACUUCGUGUGUGUAAUGAAAAGGGUUGGGAUGAGUCAGAGCUAGUGUGGGAGCAGUCUCUAAAGCUGUCCUCAAGGAAUGGAAAGAGGAAUGGGGAAAGGAUUUAGGAUCUAUGGGGUCAGCUAGGUUUCCUUUUGUGCGUUUAUAUAAUGGUUUUGUUAGUAUGGCAAAACCAGGUAUCCAAAGGCGAAAGUAUCCAACCAUGCCCAGGAAGGAAAGGAGUUGUUGUUUUGCAGAAGGGGUUGGGGUUUGAGAGAUCAGUCAGAUGCAUUUGACAGGGAGAGCAUGUAUGUUUUUAUGAAGAAUUAUGCCAAGGUAGAUAACAGAUGGAGAAGAAAUUUGAGCUUUGGAAGGGGGAUACCUGAUAUCCCUUGGAGAAUAAAUGUUGAAGGAGCAGGAGGGUGUCUUGUUGAGAAGAAUCAAAGGAGGGGCUAAAAAGAAGGUCAUCAAUAUAUUGAAUAACGUGAGAAGUGGAGGGGUGGAAAGAAAGUAAAUCAUGAGAAAGAGCUUGGCUGAAGUAAUGAGGGCUGUCCCUGAAGCCUUGUGGCAGUACAGCCCAGGUAAGCUGCUGGGACUGAUGGGUGUCAGGGUCAGUCCAGGUAAAAGCAAAGAGAGGCUGGGAUGAGGGGUGUAGGGGAGAAUAGUGAAAAAAGCAUCUUUAAGAUCAAGAACAGAAUAGUGAGUUGCGGAGGAAGGUAUUGAGGACAAAGGAGUGUACGGGUUGGGCACCACAGGGUGGAUAGGAAAAACAAUUUGGUUGAUAAGGUGCAGAUCCUGAACUAACCUGUAAGACUUGUCUGGUUUUUGAACAGGUGAAAUGGGAGAAUUGUAAGGAGAGUUUAUAGGUUUUAGAAGCACAUGCUGUAGCAGGCGAGUGAUAACAGGCUUUAAUCCCCUUAAAGCCUGUUGUGGGAUGGGAUACUGGCAUUGAGCAGGGUAAGAGUGAUUCGGUUUUAAUGGGAUAGUAAUGGGCAUGUGAUCAGUUGCCAGGGAGGGAGUGGAGGUGUCCCAUCCUUGUGGGUUAAGGUCAGGGGAUAGGAGAGGAAGAUGUGAAGGAGGCUUUGGGUUGGGAAGAAGGGUGGCAAUGAUAUAUGGCUGUAGUCAAGGAAUAAUCAGGGAAGCAGAUAAUUUGGUUAAAAUGUCUUGGCCUAAUAAGGGAACUGGGCAGGUGGGGAUAACAAAAAAACAGUGCCUAAAAGAAUGUUGUCCAAGUCGGCACCAGAGUGGGGGAGUUUUAAGGGGCUUUGAAACUUGGCUGUCAAUACCCACAACAGUUACGAGGGCAAGGGAAACAGACCUUGAAAAGAAGGUAAUGUGGAGUGGGUAGCCCCCGUAUUGAUUAAACAGGGGACGGACUUACCUUCCACUGUAAGAGUUACUCAAAGCUCAGCAUCCGGGAUGGUCUAGGGGGCUUCCGAGGCGAUUGGGCAGUGUCAGUCUUCAGCUGCUAAGCCGAGGAGAUCUGGGAAGGAGUCGGCCAAGGAACAUUGGGUUUGGGCUCCAGGGGCUUUAGGAGCAGCGGUGAUGUGAGUCAGACAGUCUGACCUCCACUGGGGGACCACACAGACAGGGCACGGCUUAGGAGGAAUCCCGGGCUCUGGGCAUUCUGAGGCCCAGUGGCCGGGCUUUUGGCAUUUGAAGCAAGGUCCAUGAGGAUGUUUUGAAGGAGCCCCUGGGAACUGUGGCUUGAAUGUUCUGAAGUUCUUGUAUGCUGGAGACAUACGUGGUUGUGGGUUGUCUUACAGUGGAGCAUCUAGGGUACUUCUACUGUUAUGAUUCUGAGCGUGGGUGAUGGCUCAUCUGGGCACCUACUCUCUGCAAGGCUGUGAACCUGAUCCUCUGAGUAAUCUUCAUGACAGUCCUGAGGGGGUGAAGUUGUCCCCACUUGGGGACAGUGAAUGAUGGAAUGAUCUGAUCCCACAUCUUCUGCCAAAGCACACACCAUAGAAACAAGUACGAAGUGCAUUCUUAAUUCUUCAUGACAGGUGCUGCUUAUUCUAUUUUUAAGGUGGGAAAUUGCAGGUUAUAGAGAAUAAGGUUUUGCAUGAUUGUAGAGCUAGUAAAUGGUGGGUGGGUGGUAACUAUCUCUUCAGGCUGCUGCUUAGAACCUGUAUGCUCCCCAUUCUCAUCCCCUUGCAUCUAAGGUUCCUGUUCCCCAAUGGAAAACCCCUUUGGGAAGCUGAUUCCCCUGCAGCUGUAGAGGGGAGUUUGAGGUUCCCUUGACUCUUCUGUUGAAUGACUGCUGAAUGAAGGUGUCUCCCCUAAAGAGAGCAUUCCUGACACUGUCAUCAUCCCUCCAGUUCUCCCAGAAGCAGACCUUGAGACAAGGAGUUGUGUGCCAGGGAAUUAUCAAUGGAUUGUCUCCAGGAGGAACUGGGAAGGGAGAGGGGAAGCAGGAUAGGAAAGGGUAGAAUUCCAGCAAGGGUAUGAUUUCAGGCAAAUCCCAGCCUGAGCCUGAUCCUGCAGGGUGCUGUGGGGCACAGUGUAGCCUCUUAAUAGGUCUUGAUUCCCAGCAAGGGACCUGAGCUUCUAUUGUCCCCACCAGUCAGUCACUGCAUGGGGGGCUGCCCUAGAACAUAAAGUCCCAGACACUUCUGUCUCUGUGGGUGAGGCCAAAGCAACUCCAAUGCCCCCUGGGAAGUUUCAUUGCUUUCAUCUCUUGUGACCAUCAAUCUAUUGCAACGUGUGCUGUAGCCUACCCCACCCCCAGACGGCUGUCCCUCUGGUCAUUAUUGUCCUAGUCCCAGGACCAGGUGGAGGUCUCCUUAUAAAUCCUAUCUCCCUUUUGUGAAAUGAAGUGGUCGUUUGCAGUGUUUUAAAGGGAGAAUGAAAUAUUCCAGUCAGAAGGACUUUCUUCUGACAGCACGUUACAUGAAAACUGCCAACUCUUUAUACUUAAGACUUCUGUCUACUCAAUUCAUUGAUCCUCCCUCCUCCCCCUCCCACAACACUUAAGCUAUGUAGAAGUGAGUUUCUCAAAGAACUAUCAGGAAGUGUGAGUUGCUCAUUCUUUUGGAAAGCAAUCUAGUGAACUCUAAAAUUCCAAAAUUGCAUGGCCUUUGACCCAGCAGAACUCUAGCCUAGCAAUAGUAAGUACAAUAGUAAGUACUCGACAGGCACACAGUGGUGUUGACUGUAGCCCAUCUUAUAACAUCCAAAGAACUGGGCAUGACCUGCACGUCCAUCCGUAAGGAAGAGGCUGGGGGUGGUGAUCCGUCUGGACUGUGGAACAAGCUUGUCCAACCUGUGGCCUGCAAGCACCCCAGGAUGGCUUUUGUGGCCCAACACAAAUUUGUAAACUUUCUUAAAAUAUAUUUUCACAAUGAUUUUUUUUUAGCUCAUCAGCUAUCGAUAGCGUAUUUUAUUUUAUGUGUGGCCCAAGACCAUUCUUCCAAUAUGGCCAAGGGAAGCCAAAAGAUUGGACACCCUUGGUGUGGAAUACCAUGCGACUGUUAAAAAGAGACCCAUGAAUUCUAUGUUGAAAAUGUGUCCGGGAUGUAUUAGCAAAAAACACACACUGCAGAAUAACAAUACAGUGCAAAUUCCCCCCUCUUUUUUUUGAGACAGGGUUUCUCUCACCCAGGCUGUAGUGCAGUGGUGUGAUCAUAGCUCACUGCAGCCUCAACCUCCCGGGCUCAAGUGAUCCACCUCAGCCUCCCAAAUUGCUGAGAUUAUAGAUGUGAGCCACCGUGACUGGCCGGCAAUCUCACUUUUGCCAAAGUGGGUAAAUCCUACAUGUAUGCAUGUUUACAUAAGAAUGGAGAAAAGUGGGGGAAGUAAUACAUCAAAAGAUGAUGACUGGUUAGUCCUGAGUGAUUGGACAGUAUAGCUCUCUGCAUUACUUUUCCUUAAAGAUACAGCUUUGUAAUAUUGAAUAAGUUACAAAGGUAAACUUUAAAACUGAAAUGUUGGGAGCUGCUGGUUGAAGCAGGAAGGUGGAGCAAGCCUCAUUCCUAGCCUCCAGCUUCCCUCUUCCCUCCUGUUCUCCUGGGCAGGCAUGUGGAUUGCAGGGCCUCACCUCCUUGGUCCUCCUGGGACAUCUCACAUUGACACAGCCCACGCUGCUCAGCCCACCAGCUCUCAGCAGGCCUGCUGCCCCUGCCCUGACCCCGGUUCUCUGAGAGGUUGAAAGGCCAUGGUGAGAUAACCCAGCUCCGUGCCCCCACCUGGCAGAAGAUCAGUUAAAAGGCAUCCAAGCGGAGGACCCCCGUGGCUGCCUAUUUAGAGUUCCUUCAGAGCCUCCCAUGAUAACAGCCACCAUGGCUGAGCGCUUACAUAGCAGAGCUUACAGCUAAGAGCAUGGACUCUGAAAUAAGUCACCUGUCAUCUCCAGGCCUUAGUUUGCUCUUCUGUGAAAUGGGCAUAACGGUACCUCUCAGAGUGGUUAUAACUAAAAGAUCAUAUGCAUGAAAAGACAUACUGCAUGUUGCAUGUUGUCAUGUGGGAACUAAAAGUUGAUCUUGUAGAGUAGAAUAGUGGUUACUGGAGGAUGGGAAGGGUCAGGGGUGCAGGUGGAGAUAGCCCAAGGUAGGUGAAUGGAUACGAAGUUACAGCUAGCUAGGAGGAAUGAGCUCCAGUGUUUUAUAGCAUUGUAGGUGACUGUGAUAGUAAUUUGUUGUAUAUUUUCAAAUAGCCAGAAGGGCAGAUUUUGAAUGUUCCCAACACAAAGAAAUGAUCAAUGUUUAAGGUGAUUUUUAUGUCAAUUACCCUGAUUUGAUCAUUAUACAUUGCAUAACUAUUGUAAUAUCACUGUACCCUAUAAAUAUGUGCAGUUAUGUCAAAUAAAAGCAAAAAUGCUAAAAAAGAU